CUACGGGGUGCAGCAGUAAGGAAUAUUGCGCAAUGGAGGCAACUCUGACGCAGCCAUGCCGCGUGCAGGAAGAAGGCCUUAUGGGUCGUAAACUGCUUUUAUUUAGGAAUAAACCCCCGAACGUGUUCGGGGCUGAAGGUACUAAACGAAUAAGCACCGGCUAACUCCGUGGCCAGCAGCCGCGGUAAUACGGAGGGUGCAAGCGUUAUCCGGAUUUAUUGGGUUUAAAGGGUGCGCAGGCGGGCUAUUAAGUCAGUGGUGAAAUCCCGGGGCUCAACUCCGGAACUGCCAUUGAUACUGAUAGUCUUGAGUUUGGUUGAAGUGGGCGGAAUGUAGCAUGUAGCGGUGAAAUGCAUAGAUAUGCUACAGAACACCAAUCGCGAAGGCAGCUCACUAAGCCAAAACUGACGCUCAUGCACGAAAGCGUGGGGAUCAAACAGGAUUAGAUACCCUAGUAGUC
rnacentral:rRNA from 1 species